rnacentral:rRNA from 1 species
AAUGAACGUUGGCAGCGUGGAUUAGGCAUGCAAGUCGAGCGCGAACCGUAGCAAUACGGGGAGAGCGGCGAAAGGGAGAGUAAUACGUGGAUACCUGCCCUCGGGUUCGGGAUAGCUACGGGAAACUGUAGGUAAUACCGAAUAACAUCUUCGGAUCAAAGGUGUGAUUCCGCCCGGGGAGGGGUCCGCGUCUUAUUAGCUAGUUGGUGAGGUAACGGCCCACCAAGGCGAAGAUGGGUACGGGGUGUGAGAGCAUGACCCCACUCACUGGGACUGAGACACGGCCCAGACACCUACGGGUGGCUGCAGUCGAUAAUCUUCGGCAAUGGGGGAAACCCUGACCGAGCGACGCCGCGUGCGAGAUGAAGGCCUUCGGGUUGUAAAUCGCUGUCAGAGGGGAGGAAAUGCCGGGAAGUAAUUCAUAAUCAACUCGGUUUGACCUAGCCUCAGAGGAAGGACGGGCUAAGUUCGUGCCAGCCGCCGCGGUAA